rnacentral:rRNA from 1 species
GUCCACGCCCUAAACGAUGCAUAUUUGGUGUGGGCAGUUCAUUCUGUCCGUGCCGGAGCUAACGCGUUAAAUAUGCCGCCUGGGGAGUACAGUCGCAAGGCUGAAACUCAAAGGAAUUGACGGGGCCCGCACAAGCGGUGGAGCAUGUGGUUCAAUUCGACGCAACGCGAAGAACCUUACCUGGGCUCGAACGGCCGGUUAACGUCGGUAGAAAUGCCGAUACUCCGCAAGGAGGUCCGGUCGAGGUGCUGCAUGGCUGUCGU